GGAGCCUUAAGACACAAGAUGUAGGACUGUGAGCCUCCCAGGAAGUAGGGUUGGAACUUGGAAUCUGCAUGAGGACCUGGUCUCUGCAUCCGUGUUUCAGUAGAGUAUGAACAGAAAACUGGAGAUGAGGUGAGGCCAGCAGCUCAGGAGUUGACCUCCACUGGAGAGGAGGGCACAUGCCAACCACGCAGGGCCACGUGGAGGAGCACCAGGGCCAGUCAGGCCACAGAGGGAGUGAGCAGAUGCAUGACCAGAACCAUACUGUGGUUUCCACAGGAAGGAACCCAGCAGAGAAGAAUUCGCUUCCUGGAGAUAGCAUGUGGUUACGGAGCAAACAAGAGGCACUCGGGGUGGAAGAAGUCGACCCCAAGUGUCCGUAUCUGGAGCCUUCCGUGCAGUCACACCCUUGAGUCCUCACUUAUGGUCUCCCCGCUACACUCAGAAGACCAAGGUCAGAGAGCAUCUGCCCCAGACUCCCCCUGACCCCUUGUGACCUGAAGCAGAAAUACAGACGCUGGAGGCGGACAGGUGGGGGCGCAGGGCCCCCAGCCCACAGACGGGCAUUUUCUCCCUCCACGGCCUGUGCCCUGCAGCCUUGUGCCUGCCUGGCUCCCUGGAGACUGGCCUUGGGCAGUGCCCAGCAGUCCCAGGAGGUGACCGCUGCCCUGGAACCUCCUUGUGCCCAUGGCAGGUCUGAGUGCACGAGGCCAGGAGGGGUCAGCCCGCUAUGUGAACGUGGAGGCUCAGAGGGCCAGCGACUUUGAUCGCGUGAGAUCACAGCUCCAGCUUCUUAACACCAAGUCACGAACAACUGUUGUGGUGACCUCCUCGCAGCCACGGGAGCAGAGGACUCUGGUCAAAAGAGCUGCACCCAAGGUCAGGACCAGCGAGCCCAUCGCGUCCUACAGCUACAGCACAAAGGGAACCUAUUCGGAACUCAAGGACCCAAAGGGAGGGCUGGCUUCGGGCAACAGCUGAGCAGGUGCUCAAAUGCAGGGAGCUGUGUGGGGAAGCUGGAGGGCACGUAUUCUGUCUUCCUGCUGAGCCCCAAUGCUCUAAUCCCACCUUCCUACUUACUGGGUCAGGACUGUUCCUCAAGUUCAACAUUUGAUCCCCGGGAUCUGUGACAUAAGGAGUUCAUCCAAGAGAGCUCAGUGGCAUUGGGUGGACGCUGAGUGCAUGGGGCCACUGACCUCUGGAGCCUGGACCACAAAGCGGGUGUAUGCUCCUGCACCCUGCACGGCACACCCUUCCUCCCUGUGCACACAUGAAGUCAGCUUCUCCCCUGCCCUCUGGUGAUGACUCUGGCUCCCCAAGAAAACAACAUGUGGUGUGCUGGGGCCACACUCUGCACAACAGAGCUGCCAGCAAGAAAAGGUGAGCUUGCUAGAGAAGGUUCCGGAAAUGAUCUGAUGAGGGGCCAUCUUUUCAAAGCAUAUUCUCUUGCCACAAAAAAAAUAAAUAAAUAAACGAGAUGAAGUAAAACACGGUCCACCCCUCUCCCCCGAGCUUGGUGUCCCCAGGGGAGGAUUUUUGAGAAAGAACCUGUGCUCUGCAGCUACCCCUCUGGACAGCUCUGCUCAUUCUGUGCCGGGUACAAGGCUUCUGUCAUGGACACAUGAGCCCCACGUGGUCAGCCGGGCCUUGCCCUGAGCAAGAGGAAGUGAGAAGAGAUCUAGCAUCCCUCCCCUCUCAACUCAGCCUUCCUUCAAACAGAAAAAUCGGAAACAGACUCUAAGCAAAAGCUUCUACAGGCUGAUCGCUAUUUUAAAAAUACCAAGUAGGCAUGUCGUAAAGGAGUCACGGGUCCAAGAACAAGGAGGAAGAGUGAGCGUGCCUCUGUUUCUGGGAGGUCGUCCAGCACAGCCCCAUGGUCCCCACGAGGAAACCAGACACAGCUAAGUGUUCACGUUCUCAAAGGGCUUACUCACUGUCGGAACAGAGCCUGUCAUCCGCCACCCGGUUACUGGUGGUUCUUCCCCAAAACGCUCUCUAACCGUGGAAGGGAAGAUGGCACGUAAGCCGAUCUGACACCAGAUUCACGUUCUCAAGAUAAGGUCACUGACUCUCCUGACAGUUUACAGGACCCGGCCAAUCACCUCCAAGACCACUCUGUGACCGCUGCCAGCCCCACCUCCCAGUCACUGAAGAGCAUCGGCCCUGCCCUGUCACCUGUCACCCGGCUCCCAUGGCACAUGGUCCCCUUAUGUCAGCUAAAUAGGGGACCUCACUCGUCCUGCUGCCCCUUAGCUGAUGGGAAUCGGUAUAAAUUUCUAAUAUUAUAUGCGUAUCCCUGGAAACAGCAAACCUGUAUGAAAACAAAAUUAUAACCACAUUUCAUCCUUUUAUCCCAGGACAAACUAUCUCAAUUACUGUCACUUUUCUUUUUUUUUUUUAAUUUUUAAAAAAUAUUUGUUUAUUUUUGAGAGAGAGAUAGAGACAGAGUGCGAGUGGGGUAGGGGCAGAGAGAGGGAGACACAGAAUCUAAAGCAGGCUCCUGGCUCCCAGCUGUCAGCACAGAGCCCGAUAGGGGACUUGAACCCACAAAGCGUGAGAUCAUGACCUGAGUCAAAGUUGGAUGCUUACCCGACUGAGCCACCCAGGCGCCCCUCACCUAUUGUCAGUUUUCCUUAGGUAUAUGUGAUUCUGCUGAAUAUACUUUCUAAUUUCCAUUUUUAAAAAAUUCAGAGCAGUUUAUUAUCACAGUGUAACCUAAACCAUAACACGGGUAUUUUUUUGUUUAAAAGACACAUUUUUUUCCAAAUAAAAGUACAUGGAAUCAAUGGGCAACACCCACCAUAGCCACUAGUCACACACAGCUACUUAAAUUAAACAAGAAGUAAAAUUAAAGAUUCAUUUCCUCGGUUGUUCACAGCCACAUGUCACUCAUGGCCAUGGCCAGCAUGGGCACAGAACCAUUCCCUUCACAGAAAGUUCUAGAGGGUGGCGCUGAGGAGGGACCAGCCCAGAACUCAACUUCCAGUCCAGACCUUUCUCCACCCUGAAAGGCCAUCACUCUUUACGACUGUUAUAUAUCCUUCUCUUUCACGUGGCUUUGUGGCUUUUCCUAUGGUUUUACGUGUAAAUAGAGGCACAUCUAUGUAUACACAUUGCUUGGUGACUUGUCUUUUUUCUUUCUUUCUUUCUUUUUUUUUGAGUCUAGCUGACACAUGAUGUUACAUCAGUUUCAGGUGCACAGCCUAGUGAUGCAACAACUCUGCUCACCACAAGUGUAGCUGCCGUCCAUCACUGACAAAAUGUCCCGGACGUCAUGCAAUGCAAAUAAAUACAGAUGUGCUUAAUUCUUAUUUCAUGGUGAAUAAUAUCGCUCUUAGGGAAUCUUAUUAAUGUUUUAACCAUGUUUCUCCUGCUGGACGUUUGGGUGGUUUUAGAAGUAACCACCCAGCCUGUUGAUAUAGAUCCUUCUGGUUCUUUAUCUGGGUUUUAUCUUUUUUCUAUCUACUUUGACAUAAUCUGUGACAUGUGAUUUCUCUUUUACUGUGGAAGUUACAAUAAAGCUUGAAGAUUAUUUUACGUUA